GGGAGACAGACAGAGAGAAACAAAGAGAGACUUAAUAAAGCCCUCAGUGACUGAGCUCCUUUCUCUGGCUGGCUAUAUUCAUAUGUACUGACAGCAGAGGGAAG